rnacentral:rRNA from 1 species
UACGUAGGGGGCAAGCGUUGUCCGGAUUUAUUGGGCGUAAAGAGCGUGUAGGCGGCCAAGCAGGUCCGUUGUGAAAACUGGAGGCUUAACCUCCAGACGUCGACGGAAACCGCGUGGCUAGAGUCCGGAAGAGGAGAGUGGAAUUCCUGGUGUAGCGGUGAAAUGCGCAGAUAUCAGGAAGAACACCGGUGGCGAAGGCGGUUCUCUGGGACGGUACUGACGCUGAGACGCGAAAGCGUGGGGAGCGAACAGG